rnacentral:lncRNA from 14 species
GUUAGGAGAAGGAAGCCAGCUGGACCGUAUUAUAUGGAUCACAAGAUGGAGGGAGGACCUAUCCUGGACAGAAAGUGAUCUCUCCCUAUGGAGGCUCCUCAGUACCUGGAGGACUCUGUAUACUAUUUGAGAAGAGGUGAUGCCACCAGCCUGACAGAGCAUGAAACAGCCCUACUGUUGUUCAACUGUCCCUUCACUUCUGUUUCCUCAUGAAUCCAAGUACUACCUCCACAAGGGCAUCUUGUCCACAGCAGUUAAAAGGGCCACGGUUUCAAAAGGUCUUAAAAAACAUAGCAACAAUACAUUCCAACACUUCCCUCUGAUUAUGGGAAAGCACCCUGCCCUCCAAGCCUAGGCAGAUUCCUCUAUCUGCACAGCAGCCUCGGACUCUUUCUGGGCUUAUGCACGAC